AACUGUCAUGGCUGCUGUCAGUGAGGGCCCGUAAUGGAGAUCGAGUCAAGGGUUGCCCAGGGACACUUAAGAGCCUUCGGCUUCAAGGAGGCCUCUCAAAGGACAAAGGAUGAGACUGCCUGGCGGCAGAGUGCCCCCCACAAUCGUAGGAACUGUGUCGCCGCGCUUCCCGUUAACUUGCCGCUAAGUUUUUCUAGAAAAGUCGCCCUUCUUGCCAGGGGUGUCCUAUAGACUUUGUCAUGGAGUGAAACAGAAACAAAUAUGAAACAAAGCUUCCUAUGCCAAAUUCCAGCUUAGGAAGGAUUUGUCGCAAAAUAAAAGUACACUGUCGAUUCCAAUGUGUUGGGUGUUUAGGUCGCCAUUCCAUCACUUUACUCUUCAGAGUCCUUUCGAUCCUAAGGAGCUAUGGAAAAAUGAACUCCAACUUACACAAAAUCUACUUUAAUUUCUUCAUUCCAGCAUGGAUGAGAUCCACUUGCUGUAUUGGUUUUGUAUACAGUGUGCUGGAAAGAAACUUCCACGAAUGGAUGUACAGUAUCCUGAAACACAUAAUAAACAUUGACUAGAUUUUGAAA
rnacentral:lncRNA from 1 species